AUGAGGGAGUUCCUGAUAGAGAAGGUUUUGCCAGCAAUACAAGUUGUUUGGCCCAAAGGUGAUGCUGGACAGACCAUCUACAUUCAGCAGGAUAAUGCUAAGCCACAUAUCUUGCCAGAUGACCCGGAAUUUCUAGAAGCUGUCGCAAAAACUGGACUUGACAUCAGAAUAAUACAACAGCCUCCCAACAGUCCUGAUUUGAAUGUGCUUGACCUUGGGUUUUUCAACUCGCUCCAAUCCCUGACAGAUUGUAUGAGUCCUAAAACACUAUAAGACCUUAUUAAGGGUGUUUUGGAGGAAUUUGAAGGCUAUGACAUUUACAAGCUCAACAAAAUUUUCCUAACUCUGCAGACGUGCAUGGUUGAGAUCCUGAACCAUGCAGGCGGCAAUGGGUACAAAAUACCCCAUGUAAACAAGGAAAGGCUUUAGGGGCUUGGGCAACUACCUCCAAGAUUAUCAUGCCCUCCAGAGGUGUAUGCAAAUGCCCUACACAACUUAGGGCUAAUGGAUGGGGUUCAUUAA
rnacentral:rRNA from 1 species